CGUCUAUAUACGUAUAGCAUAUCAAUAAGCGGAGGAAAAGAAACUAACUAGGAUUCCCUCAGUAACGGCGAGUGAAGCGGGAAGAGCUCAAAUUUGAAAUCUUCAAGGUUCUACCUUGACGAAUUGUAGUUUAAAGAAGUGUUUUCUGUUGGAGUUUUGGUAAAAGUUCUUUGGAAAGAGACAUCAAAGAGGGUGAGAAUCCCGUAUUUGACCAUUAUUUCCAGCUUUGUGAUACACUUUCAAAGAGUCGGAUUGUUUGGGAAUGCAGUCCAAAAUGGGUGGUAAAUUUCAUCUAAAGCUAAAUACUGGCGAGAGACCGAUAGCGAACAAGUACCGUGAGGGAAAGAUGAAAAGAACUUUGAAAAGAGAGUUAAACAGUACGUGAAAUUGUCAAAAGGGAAGCGUUUGACACCAGUGUUGUUUUCUCGAAAAUCAAUUAAAAAUGGCGGGAUUUUGUGUUGUAUUGACUUUAUCAGCUUUCUGCACUUUUUUCUUGUCUUUUUUAAUGCACUUUUCGUUUAACAAGUCAACAUCAAUUUCUUUUGUUGUAAAAGGGUCAUUGGAAGGUGGCUUUCUUUUCGGAGAAAGUGUUUAUAGCCUUUGACUUCUGCAAUCGGAGAGAUUGAGGUCUGCAGCGUAGAUCCUCCGGGGUUAGAUGCAUUUGUGCUAAGUUAUAGCCUUUCAUAGACAACUUGUUGACUAUGAUCAGUCAUGUAGCUUACUCGCUUAUGUUAUUUUACCUACGCUUAGGAUGUUGACGAUCAGCUGAGCGCG
rnacentral:rRNA from 1 species